rnacentral:rRNA from 1 species
ACGAACGCUGGCGGCAGGCUUAACACAUGCAAGUCGAACGCAUCGCAAGAUGAGUGGCAGACGGGUGAGUAACGCGUGGGAACCUACCCAGAACUUCGGAAUAACACAUGGAAACGUGUGCUAAUACCGGAUACGCCCUACGGGGGAAAGAUUUAUCGGUUUUGGAUGGGCCCGCGUAAGAUUAGCUAGUUGGUGAGGUAAUGGCUCACCAAGGCGACGAUCUUUAGCUG